rnacentral:rRNA from 11 species
AAGUAGUGGCGAGCGAACGCGGAUUAGCCCAAACCCUAAUGAUUCGUCAUUAGGGGGUUGUAGGACCUGCAUAAAGGUUAAAGACACAAGUGGAAGUAGUUUGGAAAACUACACCGAAGAGGGUGAAAGUCCCGUACACGUAAAGUCGAUAACUGGGCGGGUAUCCUGAGUAAGGCGGGACCGGUGAAAUCCUGUCUGAAUCUACCAGCACCAUCUGGUAAGGCUAAAUACUCCUGAGAGACCGAUAG